AUGGUAUAAAUUGUUUCCCAUGAUAAAGGCUGGCUGCGUAGGUCAGGAAAGCUCUUGUCAGACCAUAUGUGCUGUUUCAGGCUGCUUCAAAUUUUUUUAGGACAGUGGUGGAUAUGAGUGAAGACGGGGCAGGCAGGCCACAUCUCUUAGAAGAGGAAGGUGACUGCCACGUCUCCUUCCUCCAUGCUGAUGGCAAGGUGUGCGGGCUGUGUUCUCUUGCAGCCAGCGUCCCAUGCUCGGUGGCCCCAGAAAAGUCAGUGUGUAGGCCUCAGCCACUUCAGGUCCGGCGUACAUUCUCCCUGGACACCAUCCUCAGCUCCUACCUUCUGGGCCAGUGGCCACGAGAUGCUGAUGGGGCCUUCACCUGCUGCACCAAUGACAAGGCCACCCAGACACCCCUGUCCUGGCAAGAGCUAGAAGGUGAGCGUGCCAGCUUCUGUGCACACAAGCGCUCAGCAUCCUGGGGCAGCACAGACCACC
rnacentral:sRNA from 1 species